UUCCCUUCUUUCAUCUUGGAGCCCACAGUUCGCGCAAGUGGAGCUAUGGAAGGCCCAUGCUGUGCUGUUCUAAUCAUGUGAGGGAUUCUUAGGGGUUGAGGGGGAAGGACUGAAAACGGCUGCAGACCGUUUAGGAUGCCUGGAGUGGAGACAGGAGUUAAGCCCCUUACUCAGAGUCGCUCUUAAGAACUGCCCAGGGCCGGGCACAGUGGCUCAUGCCUGUUAUCCUAGCACUUUGGGAGGCCAAAGUGGGAGGCUCUCUUGAGCUCGGGAGUUCAAGACCAGCCUGGGCAACAUGGUUUCCACUUCAAGCGUGACCCUUUUGCCUGUGGGAUGAGCUCCAGCAUGGGGUGAGGUACAGAAGAGAGACUUGAAGAGCGUGCCUUGGGACUCAAGCGCCAAACCUGUACCCUAGCGAGUGUCCUACUCCGCAUCCGUAAUGGAAGGAAAUGCACAUCUUACUCCAGAGGCACAAGAGGAGGACAUCCCAUGCGGCUACUCCUGCCCAGCGUGGUGGGGCAGCAGAAGCUCCAGAGCCCAGACUUGCAGGCUCACGGUGCAGGGUGAACCUGGCCACAGCUCACCCUGGAACAGCCACAAUGUCUGCCCCUUAGAGAAGAACCCUGAAAUCAGACCAGUUUUUGCGGCCUCCCCCUUUCCUCUCUGUUACAGUGCCCUUUCCAGGCCUUAAGAGAAGUAAAACUUAGCUGCAGCGUCAGGAGGUGGACCCCAGAGUGUGAGUGGCACGCUUCCCUGUGAACCCGUCCUCACCAUGUUUGCCACAUCUGGGGCAGUGGCAGCGGGGAAGCCUUACUCGUGCAGCGAAUGUGGCAAGAGCUUCUGCUACAGCUCAGUGCUGCUGCGACAUGAACGAGCUCACGGC
rnacentral:lncRNA from 10 species